AGAGUUUGAUCAUGGCUCAGAUUGAACGCUGGCGGCAGGCCUAACACAUGCAAGUCGAACGGUAACAGGAAGCAGCUUGCUGCUUUGCUGACGAGUGGCGGACGGGUGAGUAAUGUCUGGGAAACUGCCUGAUGGAGGGGGAUAACUACUGGAAACGGUGGCUAAUACCGCAUAACGUCGCAAGACCAAAGAGGGGGACCUUCGGGCCUCUUGCCAUCAGAUGUGCCCAGAUGGGAUUAGCUUGUUGGUGAGGUAACGGCUCACCAAGGCGACGAUCCCUAGCUGGUCUGAGAGGAUGACCAGCCACACUGGAACUGAGACACGGUCCAGACUCCUACGGGAGGCAGCAGUGGGGAAUAUUGCACAAUGGGCGCAAGCCUGAUGCAGCCAUGCCGCGUGUAUGAAGAAGGCCUUCGGGUUGUAAAGUACUUUCAGCGGGGAGGAAGGUGUUGUGGUUAAUAACCGCAGCAAUUGACGUUACCCGCAGAAGAAGCACCGGCUAACUCCGUGCCAGCAGCCGCGGUAAUACGGAGGGUGCAAGCGUUAAUCGGAAUUACUGGGCGUAAAGCGCACGCAGGCGGUCUGUCAAGUCGGAUGUGAAAUCCCCGGGCUCAACCUGGGAACUGCAUUCGAAACUGGCAGGCUUGAGUCUUGUAGAGGGGGGUAGAAUUCCAGGUGUAGCGGUGAAAUGCGUAGAGAUCUGGAGGAAUACCGGUGGCGAAGGCGGCCCCCUGGACAAAGACUGACGCUCAGGUGCGAAAGCGUGGGGAGCAAACAGGAUUAGAUACCCUGGUAGUCCACGCCGUAAACGAUGUCUACUUGGAGGUUGUGCCCUUGAGGCGUGGCUUCCGGAGCUAACGCGUUAAGUAGACCGCCUGGGGAGUACGGCCGCAAGGUUAAAACUCAAAUGAAUUGACGGGGGCCCGCACAAGCGGUGGAGCAUGUGGUUUAAUUCGAUGCAACGCGAAGAACCUUACCUGGUCUUGACAUCCACGGAAGUUUUCAGAGAUGAGAAUGUGCCUUCGGGAACCGUGAGACAGGUGCUGCAUGGCUGUCGUCAGCUCGUGUUGUGAAAUGUUGGGUUAAGUCCCGCAACGAGCGCAACCCUUAUCCUUUGUUGCCAGCGGUUAGGCCGGGAACUCAAAGGAGACUGCCAGUGAUAAACUGGAGGAAGGUGGGGAUGACGUCAAGUCAUCAUGGCCCUUACGACCAGGGCUACACACGUGCUACAAUGGCGCAUACAAAGAGAAGCGACCUCGCGAGAGCAAGCGGACCUCAUAAAGUGCGUCGUAGUCCGGAUUGGAGUCUGCAACUCGACUCCAUGAAGUCGGAAUCGCUAGUAAUCGUGGAUCAGAAUGCCACGGUGAAUACGUUCCCGGGCCUUGUACACACCGCCCGUCACACCAUGGGAGUGGGUUGCAAAAGAAGUAGGUAGCUUAACCUUCGGGAGGGCGCUUACCACUUUGUGAUUCAUGACUGGGGUGAAGUCGUAACAAGGUAACCGUAGGGGAACCUGCGGUUG
rnacentral:rRNA from 5 species